UUGGAGGGCAAGUCUGGUGCCAGCAGCCGCGGUAAUUCCAGCUCCAAUAGCGUAUAUUAAAGUUGUUGUGGUUAAAAAGCUCGUAGUUGAACCUUGGGCCUGGCUGGCCGGUCCGCCUCACCGCGUGUACUGGUCCGGCCGGGCCUUUCCCUCUGUGGAACCCCAUGCCCUUCACUGGGUGUGGCGGGGAAACAGGACUUUUACUGUGAAAAAAAUUAGAGUGCUCCAGGCAGGCCUAUGCUCGAAUACAUUAGCAUGGAAUAAUAGAAUAGGA
rnacentral:rRNA from 1 species